rnacentral:rRNA from 1 species
AACCUGCCCAAGAGAUCGGGAUAACACCUGGAAACAGAUGCUAAUACCGGAUAACAACAGAUGAUGCCUAUCAACUGUUUAAAAGAUGGUUCUGCUAUCACUCUUGGAUGGACCUGCGGUGCAUUAGCUAGUUGGUAGGGUAACGGCCUACCAAGGCGAUGAUGCAUAGCCGAGUUGAGAGACUGAUCGGCCACAUUGGGACUGAGACACGGCCCAAACUCCUACGGGAGGGCAGCAGC